rnacentral:rRNA from 1 species
AGCCAGAGGAAGAUAUUUUUGGUUUAACCUGCCCAAUGUAUUAUUGUAUGAAUGGCCGCGGUACCCUGACCGUGCUAAGGUAGCGUAAUCAGUUGGCUUUUAAAUGGAGUCAGGUAUGAAUGGGAUAACCGGGCUUAGCUGUCUCAAAGACAUUUAUUUGAAUUUACUGUUCAAGUGAAAAAGCUUGACGUAAGAAAAGGGACGAGAAGACCCUUAGAAUUUUGUUUAAAGAGGAUUAUUUCCUCUAUGAUUUUGUUGGGGCGACAGAGAAAUAAUUAAAACUUUCUUUAAAUUAAUCAGUCGGAAUUUUCAGGUUAGGAUAAAUUACCUGAGGGAUAACAGCAUAAUUUUAUAAAUAAGUUUGUGACCUCGAUGUUGGACUAGGAAGCUAAUGGGUUAGCUGCUCAUUGUGCGGAUUCUGUUCGAAUUUUAACUCCUACGUGAUCUGA